rnacentral:lncRNA from 1 species
AUGGCCUGGCUGACGUGGCGACGGGCCCACGUGCCUGUGGGCUCGGUCUCCCUAGAAGGACAAAAAGGCAGGCAACCACACAACAUGGCCUGCUUGCCUGGGCCUGCCUGGUGUUACGCACCCAGCUCAUGCACAAAACACUGCCUUCGUUCUCCUGUAAAGAGAAAAAAGGAAAAUCUGUUAAAAAUGGAUAGCUCACUGCCAUUUCCAACAGAAAUUAUCAAGAUUGCUCUCCACUGCAUUGGACUCUCCUAUGCCAAUUUUACCAGAGAAAAUUCCUUAAGAAAUCAGUGGAUCACUAUUGUAGGCGGGAGCUUUCAUCACCAUAUUGAGUAAGCAACAAUGUUCAUGUCAAUCUCCUGCCUUUGGAUCAUGGUAAGGACUGUGCGUGUCAUCACAACGGCUGCGUUUGCACAAUGCCUUAAGACACUGUUGCUGAUGCAUGUGGAAAGUACAAAGCAGUCCCCGGAAGGCACUGCGCCCCAUUGUCCCGCACUUCUUGUUUCCAGUCUUUAUCAGGUGGUGAUAACAGGAAAUAUUUGUUUCUCUGCGAACUUUUUUGGUUCCAGUUCUCCUGUGAUUUAUAUAGGGUGUAAGUGAUAAACGUAUCUCCAUCAACGCCCAGAGAUUUAUAAGAGUUUUGAAUUAAUAGGCUGAGAGAAUAUAAAUCUUCUGGAUUAAAUUCAUAUAAUCUCUACCUUACAAAGCUGAUUUUUUUUAAUUAUUCUCUCUGGAGAGAAUAGAUUAACAGUAUGACACCAAAGUUUGACAUACCCUUAUCUUACAGGAAGAAGGCAUGUGCAGAAUAAGGAUGGAUUGCCUUAGUCCUUCACCAUUAAGAGAAACAAACUAGUCUCAUGCAGUUUGGGAUGUAUGGGCAUCUCUCCCUUGCUCCUGCUGUCUUCUCAGUCUCCUCUGCCAUCUCCAGCAGGAAAGACCAUAAAAGCCUACACGCUCAGCAGGAAAUAAGACUCAAAGGCGUUUCCUACGCGCCUUCAUGUUACCCUUUCCUCUGCUCCCAAAAAACAGCAAUUGUUUAGCUUUUUUCUACUGCUGUGAUUCAACUUAGAGAUGAGUGCGUUUCAGGUCAAUAUCUGUAUACAGGACAAGAUCCCUCACUUUAUAUGGGGAAAAAGUCCUGGAAGAGGGAAUUAAAAGGUUCUCUGAGGUUUCCUGUACAGCAGUUUUCCUGGGUGGUCUUUCUGAAGAGAGGUGAUAGGGGGACCAGGUAAUUUGGAGGCUGCAACCAUCUCCUUCUCUUGCAAAGCACAGGACUCACUAGGAUGUGGAAAACUUUUCCUAAUCAAGCCAAGCAUCAUCUUCUAGGUAUAGCUCU